rnacentral:rRNA from 1 species
GUAACGCGUGGGAAUCUACCGUACCCUACGGAAUAGCUCCGGGAAACUGGAAUUAAUACCGUAUACGCCCUUAGGGGGAAAGAUUUAUCGGGGUAUGAUGAGCCCGCGUUGGAUUAGCUAGUUGGUGGGGUAAAGGCCUACCAAGGCGACGAUCCAUAGCUGGUCUGAGAGGAUGAUCAGCCACAUUGGGACUGAGACACGGCCCAAACUCCUACGGGAGGCAGCAGUGGGGAAUAUUGGACAAUGGGCGCAAGCCUGAUCCAGCCAUGCCGCGUGAGUGAUGAAGGUCUUAGGAUUGUAAAGCUCUUUCACCGAUGAAGAUAAUGACGGUAGUCGGAGAAGAAGCCCCGGCUAACUUCGUGCCAGCAGCCGCGGUAAUACGAAGGGGGCUAGCGUUGUUCGGAAUUACUGGGCGUAAAGCGCACGUAG